rnacentral:misc_RNA from 1 species
AAAAGAAAUCCCUAAAACUGAAAAACAAAAAUAAGCCCUAAAUUUCUUCUUCAUAUUUAAGUCUUCGAUUCUCUCAUCGAAGGCCGACGAUAUUCAACAAUUCUUAGGGCUUAAUUAAUUAUUGGAACAGGUUCUUGAUAAUAAUCUAAGUACUGAACAAAAAACAAUGGGAAAUCGGGGCCAAAAGCGGGCAGAAAUGACUGAUGAAUUGCCAGCAGAUAA